GACGAACGCUGGCGGCGUGCUUAACACAUGCAAGUCGAACGGAAAGGCCCUGCUUUUGUGGGGUGCUCGAGUGGCGAACGGGUGAGUAACACGUGAGUAACCUGCCCUUGACUUUGGGAGAACUUCAGGAAACUGGGGCUAAUACCGGAUAGGAGCUCCUGCUGCAUGGUGGGGGUUGGAAAGUUUCGGCGGUUGGGGAUGGACGCGCGGCUUCUCAGCUUGUUGGUGGGGUAGUGGCUUACCAAGGCUUUGACGGGUAGCCGGCCUGAGAGGGUGACCGGCCACCUUGGGACUGAGAUACGGCCCAGCCUCCUACGGGAGGCAGCAGUGGGGAAUAUUGCACAAUGGGCGGAAGCCUGAUGCAGCAACGCCGCGUGCGGGAUGACGGCCUUCGGGUUGUAACCCGCUUUCGCCUGUGACGAAGCGUGAGUGACGGUAAUGGGUAAAGAAGCACCGGCUAACUACGUG
rnacentral:rRNA from 1 species